rnacentral:rRNA from 1 species
GAUGAACGCUGGCGGCGUGCCUAAUACAUGCAAGUCGAGCGAACAGAUAAGGAGCUUGCUCCUUUGACGUUAGCGGCGGACGGGUGAGUAACACGUGGGUAACCUACCUAUAAGACUGGAAUAACUCCGGGAAACCGGGGCUAAUGCCGGAUAACAUUUAGAACCGCAUGGUUCUAAAGUGAAAGAUGGUUUUGCUAUCACUUAUAGAUGGACCCGCGCCGUAUUAGCUAGUUGGUAAGGUAACGGCUUACCAAGGCAACGAUACGUAGCCGACCUGAGAGGGGGAUCGGCCACACGGGAACGGAGACACGGUCCAGACUCCUACGGGAGGCAGCAGUAGGGAAUCUUCCGCAAUGGGCGAAAGCCUGACGGAGCAACGCCGCGUGAGAGAUGAAGGUCUUCGGAUCGUAAAACUCUGUUAUUAGGGAAGAACAAAUGUGUAAGUAACUGUGCACGUCUUGACGGUACCUAAUCAGAAAGCCACGGCUAACUACGUG